GGUCAACUAGGUAAGCAGCCCUCUCUCUCGAUCACUUUUCCUCAACCGCAACUGCUUCUGCUCUGCGUCAUCGCCUUCACCUCCACCCUAACAUUUUGCCUCUUCCACCACCGUCUCCGGCAUCGCUUUUUGCUUCUCCGGCUAUCCCUCACCAAUCGCAAGACUGCUCCGAGUGCUCUCUACUUACCCGUGCUUAAUUUUCACGAACUGGGUUCUUCAGUCCGGAAGAUAUGGCAUCUGAAGCAACAUCUCAGUCAAAAGGGAAAGGCAAAGGGUAUUUCACUUGGACUCCUGAAAUGGAUCGUGUAAUGGGCACCUGUUUUAUUGACCAAAUGAACCAAGGAAACAAAUUGGAUGGUAAAUGUGCAUUGGUAAUUGAUUUUUUUUGGUAAUCUCCAGUUGAAGUUGUUUUGUAGAAGAAGUUGAGCUGAUUGCUGGAAGCCCAAGUAGAGCAAGUAGAAGUUGUUACUACUCCAUCGUGUAUCCAUGACUUUUUAAAUUCUGAUGAGUUCUUUGUUUUUUAUGUAAUGGAUCAAAACAAGAUUAUAGAAAGAUUCUAGAGAGUAUUUCAGCUAUUUUCUCUGUUUUUGAGAUGAUAAGAAUGGAACAUUGGAUCUUUUGUCUGAUGAACUAGCAUUUUAGAUAUUGAGAUUAACAUAGCUGCCUGUGUUGAUGCCCUGACUUGUCCU